AUGGCGCGUCCCCGCCUUACUUGGACCGUCUGUCCCGUCACCCAAGCUCCCGAAGGCAGAGGGACCCGACGCCGGGUUCUCGAGGUCCCGAGGGCUGCCCGAGGGCUGCCCGAGGGCUGCCGGGCCCCGCCCCCCCCGCCCACAGACAGGCCCGGGGACUCGGGGGUCGGUCCCCGGCCGCGGGUCGCCAUUUGCCGUCCCUCCUCGGCGGGCCUCUGCUCGCUCGGCGCAGGCCCGGCCCUCGGGACCGACCCACGGCCGCGGGCCUCGCACGGCCCGGCCGCCGCCUCCGGCCUCCCCCGCCGGCCUGCCCCGCCGGCCUCCCGACACUCACCGCCCCGCGCGGCCGAACCGCGGCCCAGGCCCUGCCUGCCGAGGCCGCCGUGCUCGGCUGCUCCGCGCGGUCCCGGCCGCUCCGCGCCCCGCAGCCCCGCGCGGUCCGCCUCCUCCGCCGGGCCUCUCAGCCCCGCCGGGCCGCCGCCUUUUCUCCUCCCGGCCGGCGCCUCCGCCACCUCCCCCGGCGGCCGCCCCCCUCAGGCGGCCCCGCCCCGCUCGGCCCCGCCCCGCCCCGCCCCGCUCGGCCCCGCCCCCCAGACGGGCUCGGCCCGGCCACCGCGGCGGCCCCGGCGGCGGCUGCAACCCCGCGGAGACGCGCACGCUGAGCCCCGCGGAGACGCGCACGCUGAGCCCCGCGGGGACGCGCACGCUGAGCCCCGCGGAGACGCGCGCGCCGAGCCCCGCGGGGACGCGCACGCCGAGCCCCCGCGGGGACGCGCACGCCGAGCCCCGCGGGGACGCGCACUCCGCCCUUGGAUACUCGCCCGGAAGCUGCAGGGUGGGGUCCCGAGACUCUGGGGCUUGGCGCGUCUGGGGGGUGGGGGGUGUUUCCGCGCCCACACUGCUACCAAGCCCUCUUGGACUUUGGGAUCUUGUAUUCCUAGAAGGAAUCGUAGACUCGGAGUUCGGGAAUUGAGGAACCAGGCCCAUGUGGACUGGCGUGUUUAG
rnacentral:lncRNA from 1 species